rnacentral:misc_RNA from 1 species
GAUGAAGAACGCAGCGAAAUGCGAUAAGUAAUGUGAAUUGCAGAAUUCAGUGAAUCAUCGAAUCUUUGAACGCAUCUUGCGCUCCUUGGUAUUCUGAGGAGCAUGCCUGUUUGAGUGUCAUUAAAUUCUCAACUACACUGACUUUGAAUUGGUGUGGCUUGGAUUUGGGGGGAAAAUUGUUGUGGGCUUUUUGUAUAGUCUGCUCCCCUGAAAUUGAUUAGCGGUACCUUUGUGGAACUGUCUACAGGUGUGAUAAUUAUCUACAUCUUAGACAUCUGCUGGAAUGCUGCUCUCUAAACCUUACUUGUAUUGACAAUCUUGACCUCAAAUCAGGUAGGACUACCCGCUGAACUUAAGCAUAUCAUAAGCGGAGGA